rnacentral:lncRNA from 10 species
AUUAAAACUAGUGAAUUUUUUUUGUCCUACUUAGGAGUUACUUGGUUUCAACCUGCUGACGGGUACUGGGGUUUUAAUUGCAAUUUGUUUGUGAUUCCUGGCAGAGGAAGUCUAAACCCUUGCUACUCCAGGCGUGGCCCUUGAACCAGCAGCCUCACAUAGAAGCCCAUUGGAAAUGCAGGUUCUCGGGCCCUGUCCCAACCUGCUGAAUCGGGAUCUUUGUUUUAGUAUUUUUCUCAGAUAGAAUUUGAGAGGCACUGAACCGUGUAGUUUGGGCGGUGGAAAAUUCUCUCAGCAUGUCAGCAAAGAGGUAAAGAGAGAAGGGCCAUUAUCUUUCUUCAAGGAAUACAUAUAUCUCCUGUGCAGGGGAGUGUGUGAUGAUGGCCAAAUGAACGGAAGGAUAGGAGGCCAGCAGAAGCCCAGAGCAAGACCAGGCAAGGAGAGAGUGGGCAUUUCUCAUUCCUGUCUGACCGGCUCUACUUUCUCACUUCCAGUCAUCUGCUCUUCCUUGGAGGACACACCUCCCCCAGGCCAGGUGGUCAGGGUGAGGUUAUCAGUCACAGUCCCCUUCCUACCAAGACUCAGUCCCAGGAAGGGCCACUGGAUUGUGUGAAGACUGUGAGCUGUGUCCACUGCAUUUCUCCAGCCCAUGCAACCCGGCAUCACGAGGAAGGGGGUAUGGGGUCCAAGCUGCCACAGUGAGACCCAGGAAAGGAAAGACGAACCUCUUUUCCAAGGAGACACCUGCACAAUAGCCAGGUGACGGCCCAGAAACCUCUGUUAACACCUGCUUGCCAGUGGUCCCGCCGUGGGGAGCAAGCCUGCCUCCCCUCACCAAGGCGGGAUUCAUGCUGCUGGUACAGUGUCCGGGGGACUCCCGCCCGGCCCUCCCAGCUGCCAGGAGGCGGUGCCCGCCCACGCCAGCUGCCAGGCUGGCCUCUCCGUGCUCCAGAGCCGCACAGCUCUGAACAGCGGCAGCAGGUGGGAGCCCCACCGGGGAACGCAAUGAAACUCACAGCCGUAAACGAGUUUAUUAUUGUUGUUAACUGGGGAAAUAAAUGUCUCAAGCA